UUAAGAAGUCUUAGACGGUUUCCUAGUCUUAAGAAUACGAGAAGUUCUCGUUCGAGGUCGACUCGAUCUUUUCUUUGGUCUGGUGCUCGAGUUCAAGGUUGUGUUGAAGUCGCUCCAAGCUCGUCCUCGUCUCAGUUUCGCUGUAAAAAAAAAGGUAAUAUUUUUCCCUUAGUUUAUGUUUCACUGCAUAGAGAAUCUGCCCCUGUUGGGUUUGCUUUGGCUAUAUUGUACUCAGUUUGAACAUGAAUAUUCAAGCUCAUUUUCUUUGUUGUUUGAACUUCUAGCUAAUCCCAGAUCAUUAACACCUCACCUCACCUCAUCGAGAUAUAAUGAUCCAGGCUUAACUUUCAUUGUAGUCUCAAGUUGUAUGUUCACCUCGCUUUGACUUUUAUGUCUAUUGUGUUUCCAAGUAUUGACGAAGUUCCUUUGGUAUUAUAGGUUGGUAUUUGAAUUUUUUUUAUUUUUCUUUAGUUGGUUCAGUCUCUGUCUCGUUUGUUUGAAAUGGUCUGGAUAUAUGUGUGAUUUGUACUCGGAAUAUGUUGGUUAUAUCGUUUUGUCUCUUUCACGGCGUCUUUGUCCGCCUCUUCUCAUUUAAUGGAAAGUCUUCAUGUCACUUGAUUUGUAAGUCAGGUUAUUGCAAGUGUAAUGUAACGAUUUGCCAUGUUAAUAUUUUUUUUUAGUUGUUAAAAGCACACUUCCAGAUCUUUGUUUGAUUUGGAAGACUAUCAUUAUCUCAAAGUGUGGCAUAUGUUUGAUAUAGUCUGAUAUGACACCAAAUCUUCCUACUUAGCAGAGCCUCUCUCUACAAACAUUAUGUUCAUUUACAUCUCUUGGAUUUUGAGUUUGAUGGAGUUGUUUAACAGGGAUGUCAUCACGUUUAGUUGCUUACUCAUAGCAAAAAUAUAUUUCCUGCUUGAAAUAAUUUGGCAUGCUACUCUCUUUUAAUAACACUCCGUCCUUUAGCACGAUAAACUAGGACCCUUGAUAGAGCUAAUUUUGACUAUAGCAUAAGAUGCAUUACCUGUGGACUAUGCAACGUGUUUCCUCUCAUCAUUUUGAAUUAUUGUAUGUCAAUGGCUAAAUACUCCAUGUAAUAUAAUAUAUUCAUAAAUGUAUAUGUGUGUUAUUGUUUAGUGUCAUAGUUUGUUUGUUAAUUUAAUUCGUCUUGUCUUCUUUAGAAGUGACAUGUCAUUGUGGUCUAUUAUUUGGGGGUUGUUUGACUCUUGGCUUCCUUAUUUUAGAUUUUCUUAAAUAAUUCUAAUGGCAAUCGAAUUAUGUCUCGUUUGUUAGUCAAUCGAAUGCUAAUUUCAUCUUUAUUUUUAUUUUUUUUGUAUGAACCCUCUCCGAGUCCGCAAUGGAUUUCUUUUCCCUCGCAUUCUCGAAUUGAGCCAUAGAGGCUCAAAUCUCUUUCGUCAUUAAGUCAGCCAGAUUACCGGGCGUACAGGGCAGAACGCGAAAUAUAGGGGCUGGAAAUUAAAUCUACAGAUUCUGGAAAGCUGAAAAAACAGCUUGAUACAACCUUUAUACACUGUUAUACGGUCCAGCCCAACAAAUACGGGAUUAAAAAUAAAAAUACAGGUAAAAAACGCAGGAAUACAUGGCUGAGACGAAAUACAAGUGUUCGGAAGCAAGAUAUACACGAAAAACACCUAUACACACGCCGAUAUACACUGAUAUACAGUCAGUGUAUACAAAAACGGGAUUGGGUUAAAACCCAAAAAACUUGUAGCGAAAUUGGCCCAAAAAGGAGCCCAAUUUCAUUCUCUUUUACUCUCCUAAUUAUUUUGAUUACGUAUGACUAACUUCAUUUAUCUCUAACCUUAAUUUAUUAUUAACUUAAUUAGAUCCCCCAAAAAGACGAGCUAUUUCUAUGUGUGGUUUUGUUUCUAACAAAUCUCAUUUUAUCAACUUUGUAUUGUCAUUUAUAAUCUUUAGUC
rnacentral:lncRNA from 1 species